UAUCGUCACUGCAUGUCUAUUUCAGCUCUCCGCCGCCGCUGCUUGUUGUUCUGAACUGCUGCACCGUCGUUGUCGCCGUUCGGGUCACUGGGAACAUGGCAGUGAUCACCGGAACCACCAUUGGAGUUACCGUUAUUUCAAUUCAGCCGUUCGUCCUUGUUUGGGAUCGAGUUCCGGGUCUUGAUUGCUGAGUUUUAUGGUUGUAGCAUACAACAUCAAGGUGCUGUGUCGUCACCAGAGCUGCUGUUGCUCCAUUUUCUCAAUUAUUUGUAAGCCCAGAUUGAGCUAAGGCUAUGUUUAGAGGUUGUGGCUGCUGCGGGGACGGUCAGUAUUGAUGUUGUUACAGCCGC